rnacentral:rRNA from 1 species
UACAGAGGUCCCGAGCGUUGUUCGGAUUCAUUGGGCGUAAAGGGUGCGUAGGCGGCGGGGCAAGUCUGAUGUGAAAUCCCGGGGCUCAACCCCGGAACUGCAUUCGAUACUGCCGUGCUUGAGGACUGGAGAGGAGACUGGAAUUUACGGUGUAGCGGUGAAAUGCGUAGAUAUCGUAAGGAAGACCAGUGGCGAAGGCGGGUCUCUGGACAGUUCCUGACGCUGAGGCACGAAGGCCAGGGGAGCAAACGGG